rnacentral:lncRNA from 1 species
GAUACUUUUAAGCAACAUUUCUAAUUAGAUUGUAUUUCAUAAGUUGAUGUAAUAUACUUUGGUUUUCUCAUUAUCAUAUUUUCAAAAAUCUCUUUAAUUUCCAUCAUGAAUUUUGCUACAGCCUUUUCUUUUCAAGAUACUGGACCAAAACGGUAUCAAGUUUUAACUUUGAUGGUUAACCCAGAAAUUCCCAGUGAUCAGAAACCGUAUUUAAAGAACAUAAAUUUAAAAGAGAUUUUUAACCUGCUUUUUUGUGUGGCAUGCAGGAUUUUGUAAUUUUGUUUAUCUAAUUUUGAUUUGAAUAUAAUUACUAAGUAUUUUAUUUUUUCCUGUUUUGUGUCAUACAAUAUUUUGUUGUAUUAAUUUUUAAAUUUUCAUGCUAUAGAAGGACUUGUUAUAAUUUGGUUAUGUUUAGCAAAAGUUUUUGGUAAUAUGUUGAUGAUGUGGGAAGGUCAUAAGCUAAACAGGCUUAAAAGAUGCCUUUGUCAAUUUACAACUUGCAUAUCAUACUUUAACCAACACAGAUUUUAAUUUUCCAUUUGUAGGCAGAAAAAUAUCCAAUUAGGUUUCAAACAUGUCAUCAUAUUCUUACAUGGCACAAUUGUUAUUAAUAAAUUACACCCCAUCUAACAGUUUAAUUUAUAAAUAUUUUUUCUUUCUCAUAAAUAGGCAUUUGUAAAAGUACCUAACAUUAUCUAAAAUGACACAAAAGCGAAUCAUAAUCAAUAAUCAAUUCUUAAGUAUAACUAUAAAUUACAUUGAAUAAAACAUAACAAUACUGCAGCUUAUUUAGUUGGUGUACCAAGCAAAUACAAAUAUA